rnacentral:tRNA from 1 species
GGGUGUGUGACCGAGUGGCGAAGGAACUAGACUCUUAAUCUAGAGGCAAAGGCCCAUCGUGGGUUCGAAUCCCACUGCACCCA